GCUCCAGUAGCUCAGUGGAUUAGAGCAACUGCCUUCUAAGCAGUUGGUCGCUGGUUCGAGUCCAGCCUGGGGCG
rnacentral:tRNA from 1 species